GACGAACGCUGGCGGCAUGCUUAAUACAUGCAAGUCGAGCGGCCUUGCCUACUUCAGCUUGGUGCUUGGAGCCGAAGAAACGAGUAACAAGUGAGCGCCUGACCGGUAGGGAACACUUGGGUAACCUACGCAAGAUAAUUACAUAACACCUGGAAAGAGAGGCUAAUAGCGGCUAACAACACUAGCCGCAUUUCUAGAGCCUAUAAGAGGGUUCUGCUAUCGUUCGUGAAUGGCCUUCCGGUGCAUUAGCUAGUAGGUAGGGCAACGGCUUACCAAGGCAAUGAUGCAUAGCCGAGAUGAGAGGAUGAUCGGCCACAUUGGGACUGAGACACGGCCCAAACUCCUACGGGAGGCAGCAGUAGGGAAUUUUGGACAAUGGGCGCAAGUCUGAUGGAGCAACGCCGCGUGAGUGAAGAAGGGUUUCGGCUCGUAAAGCUCUGUUGGUAGUGAAGAAAGAUAGUGGGAGUAUAUCGCCUUUAUUUGACGGUACUUACAGAGAAAGUAACGGCUAACUACGUG
rnacentral:rRNA from 1 species